rnacentral:rRNA from 1 species
UACGGAGGGGGCUAGCGUUGUUCGGAAUUACUGGGCGUAAAGCGCACGUAGGCGGCUUUGCAAGUUAGAGGUGAAAGCCCGGGGCUCAACCCCGGGAGGCGGGUGGAUACUGUCAAGCUCGAGUCCGGAAGAGGAGUGUGGAAUUCCUGGUGUAGCGGUGAAAUGCGCAGAUAUCAGGAGGAACACCAAUGGCGAAGGCAGCACUCUGGGACGUGACUGACGCUGAGACGCGAAAGCGUGGGGAGCAAACAGG